UGCCUGUACCAUAACCGACACAGGUGGGUAAGUAGAGUAUACUAAGGGGCGCGAGAUAACCCUCUCUAAGGAACUCGGCAAAAUAACUCCGUAACUUCGGGAGAAGGAGUGCCUUAUUCUUAAGGUUGCAAUAACAAGAUCCAAGCAACUGUUUAUCAAAAACACAGGUCUCCGCUAAGUCGUAAGACGAUGUAUGGGGGCUGACGCCUGCCCAGUGCCAGAAGGUUAAAGAAGUCGGUUAGCAAUAGCAAAGCUGGUAACUGAAGCCCUGGUGAACGGCGGCCGUAACUAUAACGGUCCUAAGGUAGCGAAAUUCCUUGUCGGGUAAGUUCCGACCCGCACGAAAGGCGUAAUGAUUUGGAUGCUGUCUCGGAGAGGGGCUCGGUGAAAUAGACUUGUCUGUGAAGAUGCGGACUACCUGCACCAGGACAGAAAGACCCUAUGAAGCUUUACUGUAACUUGAAAUUGAAAUUGGACUUUAUUCGCGCAGUAUAGGUGGGAGGCGUUGAUUAUAAUCUUGUGGGAUUAUUGGAGCCAUCAGUGAGAUACCACUCUUGUAAUGUUAGAUUUCUAACUUUGAAUCAUUAUCUGGUCAAAGGACAGUUUCAGGCGGGCAGUUUGACUGGGGCGGUCGCCUCCUAAACGGUAACGGAGGCGUACAAAGGUUUCCUCUGAACGGUUAGAAAUCGUAUCUAGAGUGUAAAGGCAUAAGGAAGCUUGACUGUGAGACCUACAAGUCGAGCAGGGACGAAAGUCGGUCUUAGUGAUCUGACGGUACUGAGUGGAAAGGCCGUCACUCAACGGAUAAAAGUUACUCUAGGAUAACAGGCUGAUCUCCCCCAAGAGUUCACAUCGACGGGGAGGUUUGGCACCUCGAUGUCGGCUCAUCGCAUCCUGGGGCGGUAGUACGUCCCAAGGGUUGGGCUGUUCGCCCAUGAAAGCGGUACGCGAGCUGGGUUCAGAACGUCGUGAGACAGUUCGGUCCAUAUCCGGUGUAGGCGCUAGAAUAUUGAGAGGAGCCUUCUUUAGUACGAGAGGACCGAGAAGGACAUACCUCUGGUGUACCAGUUAUCGUGCCAACGGUAAACGCUGGGUAGCUAUGUAUGGAGUGGAUAACCGCUGAAAGCAUCUAAGUGGGAAGCCCACCUCAAGAUAAGUAUUCUCAUCACGUAAGUGAGUAAGGUCACGGUAAGACUAACCGUUUGACAGGCAUUAAGUG
rnacentral:rRNA from 1 species